rnacentral:lncRNA from 1 species
GUUCAUUUUUAGAAAAAGUCAUUACUGUGCUUGCUGCCUGUCUGGAAAGUGAGAAUCAAAAUGCUCAGAGGAUUGGAGCAGCUGCCCUUUGGGCUCUGAUUUACAAUUAUCAGAAGGCAAAAACAGCUUUGAAAAGCCCAUCGGUAAAAAGAAGAGUGGAUGAAGCAUACUCCUUAGCAAAGAAAACUUUCCCAAACUCAGAAGCAAACCCUCUAAAUGCCUAUUAUUUGAAAUGUCUUGAAAACCUCGUGCAGCUCCUUAAUUCUUCCUGAGUGCCAUGGGAUGCUACACCUUGAAGCUGACAGUCAUCAACAGGGGAGCUAAAGUUGAAGCCAGCUGUGUGUAGCAGCUGUUACCUGAAGACAUGCUACCUCUCUACAAAGUGUUGAUCCCCUUCUUUCCCAUGAGAGAGAGAACUGGUGAUACUCCAACACCGUCCAGUUGUGGCAGCUCUCCAGAAGUAAUAGCAGCUGACAACUUUCUGUGCCUUUUCCUUUCUGUUGAAAAGGCAUAGAAAGUUCUGGGAACAUAAACAUUUUUACCCUUUU